rnacentral:rRNA from 1 species
UUAAGCGACUAAGCGUACACGGUGGAUGCCCUGGCAGUCAGAGGCGAUGAAGGACGUGCUAAUCUGCGAUAAGCGUCGGUGAGGUGAUAUGAACCGUUAUAACCGGCGAUUUCCGAAUGGGGAAACCCAGUGUGUUUCGACACACUAUCAUUAACUGAAUCCAUAGGUUAAUGAGGCGAACCGGGGGAACUGAAACAUCUAAGUACCCCGAGGAAAAGAAAUCAACCGAGAUUCCCCCAGUAGCGGCGAGCGAACGGGGAGGAGCCCAGAGCCUGAAUCAGUGUGUGUGUUAGUGGAAGCGUCUGGAAAGGCGCGCGAUACAGGGUGACAGCCCCGUACACAAAAAUGCACAUACUGUGAGCUCGAUGAGUAGGGCGGGACACGUGGUAUCCUGUCUGAAUAUGGGGGGACCAUCCUCCAAGGCUAAAUACUCCUGACUGACCGAUAGUGAACCAGUACCGUGAGGGAAAGUCGAAAAGAACCCCGGCGAGGGGAGUGAAAAAGAACCUGAAACCGUGUACGUACAAGCAGUGGGAGCCUCUUAAUGGGGUGACUGCGUACCUUUUGUAUAAUGGGUCAGCGACUUAUAUUCUGUAGCAAGGUUAACCGAAUAGGGGAGCCGAAGGGAAACCGAGUCUUAACUGGGCGUUAAGUUGCAGGGUAUAGACCCGAAACCCGGUGAUCUAGCCAUGGGCAGGUUGAAGGUUGGGUAACACUAACUGGAGGACCGAACCGACUAAUGUUGAAAAAUUAGCGGAUGACUUGUGGCUGGGGGUGAAAGGCCAAUCAAACCGGGAGAUAGCUGGUUCUCCCCGAAAGCUAUUUAGGUAGCGCCUCGUGAAUUCAUCUCCGGGGGUAGAGCACUGUUUCGGCAAGGGGGUCAUCCCGACUUACCAACCCGAUGCAAACUGCGAAUACCGGAGAAUGUUAUCACGGGAGACACACGGCGGGUGCUAACGUCCGUCGUGAAGAGGGAAACAACCCAGACCGCCAGCUAAGGUCCCAAAGUCAUGGUUAAGUGGGAAACGAUGUGGGAAGGCCCAGACAGCCAGGAUGUUGGCUUAGAAGCAGCCAUCAUUUAAAGAAAGCGUAAUAGCUCACUGGUCGAGUCGGCCUGCGCGGAAGAUGUAACGGGGCUAAACCAUGCACCGAAGCUGCGGCAGCGACACUAUGUGUUGUUGGGUAGGGGAGCGUUCUGUAAGCCUGUGAAGGUGGCCUGUGAGGGUUGCUGGAGGUAUCAGAAGUGCGAAUGCUGACAUAAGUAACGAUAAAGCGGGUGAAAAGCCCGCUCGCCGGAAGACCAAGGGUUCCUGUCCAACGUUAAUCGGGGCAGGGUGAGUCGACCCCUAAGGCGAGGCCGAAAGGCGUAGUCGAUGGGAAACAGGUUAAUAUUCCUGUACUUGGUGUUACUGCGAAGGGGGGACGGAGAAGGCUAUGUUGGCCGGGCGACGGUUGUCCCGGUUUAAGCGUGUAGGCUGGUUUUCCAGGCAAAUCCGGAAAAUCAAGGCUGAGGCGUGAUGACGAGGCACUACGGUGCUGAAGCGACAAAUGCCCUGCUUCCAGGAAAAGCCUCUAAGCAUCAGGUAACAUCAAAUCGUACCCCAAACCGACACAGGUGGUCAGGUAGAGAAUACCAAGGCGCUUGAGAGAACUCGGGUGAAGGAACUAGGCAAAAUGGUGCCGUAACUUCGGGAGAAGGCACGCUGAUAUGUAGGUGAAGCGACUUGCUCGUGGAGCUGAAAUCAGUCGAAGAUACCAGCUGGCUGCAACUGUUUAUUAAAAACACAGCACUGUGCAAACACGAAAGUGGACGUAUACGGUGUGACGCCUGCCCGGUGCCGGAAGGUUAAUUGAUGGGGUUAGCGGUAACGCGAAGCUCUUGAUCGAAGCCCCGGUAAACGGCGGCCGUAACUAUAACGGUCCUAAGGUAGCGAAAUUCCUUGUCGGGUAAGUUCCGACCUGCACGAAUGGCGUAAUGAUGGCCAGGCUGUCUCCACCCGAGACUCAGUGAAAUUGAACUCGCUGUGAAGAUGCAGUGUACCCGCGGCAAGACGGAAAGACCCCGUGAACCUUUACUAUAGCUUGACACUGAACAUUGAGCCUUGAUGUGUAGGAUAGGUGGGAGGCUUUGAAGUGUGGACGCCAGUCUGCAUGGAGCCGACCUUGAAAUACCACCCUUUAAUGUUUGAUGUUCUAACGUGGGCCCCUUACCGGGGUUGCGGACAGUGUCUGGUGGGUAGUUUGACUGGGGCGGUCUCCUCCUAAAGAGUAACGGAGGAGCACGAAGGUUGGCUAAUCCUGGUCGGACAUCAGGAGGUUAGUGCAAUGGCAUAAGCCAGCUUGACUGCGAGCGUGACGGCGCGAGCAGGUGCGAAAGCAGGUCAUAGUGAUCCGGUGGUUCUGAAUGGAAGGGCCAUCGCUCAACGGAUAAAAGGUACUCCGGGGAUAACAGGCUGAUACCGCCCAAGAGUUCAUAUCGACGGCGGUGUUUGGCACCUCGAUGUCGGCUCAUCACAUCCUGGGGCUGAAGUAGGUCCCAAGGGUAUGGCUGUUCGCCAUUUAAAGUGGUACGCGAGCUGGGUUUAGAACGUCGUGAGACAGUUCGGUCCCUAUCUGCCGUGGGCGCUGGAGAACUGAGGGGGGCUGCUCCUAGUACGAGAGGACCGGAGUGGACGCAUCACUGGUGUUCGGGUUGUCAUGCCAAUGGCACUGCCCGGUAGCUAAAUGCGGAAGAGAUAAGUGCUGAAAGCAUCUAAGCACGAAACUUGCCCCGAGAUGAGUUCUCCCUGACUCCUUGAGAGUCCUGAAGGAACGUUGAAGACGACGACGUUGAUAGGCCGGGUGUGUAAGCGCAGCGAUGCGUUGAGCUAACCGGUACUAAUGAACCGUGAGGCUUAACCUU